UGGGAGCUAGUGAUCUUCACGAAUGAAUUUGAAUCAUUAAACGGAGCUAACUAUCUCCGCUCCCAA
rnacentral:tRNA from 1 species